GACGAACGCUGGCGGCGUGCUUAACACAUGCAAGUCGAACGGAAAGGCCCUGCUUUUGUGGGGUGCUCGAGUGGCGAACGGGUGAGUAACACGUGAGUAACCUGCCCUUGACUUUGGGAUAACUUCAGGAAACUGGGGCUAAUACCGGAUAGGAGCUCCUGCUGCAUGGUGGGGGUUGGAAAGUUUCGGCGGUUGGGGAUGGACUCGCGGCUUAUCAGCUUGUUGGUGGGGUAGUGGCUUACCAAGGCUUUGACGGGUAGCCGGCCUGAGAGGGUGACCGGCCAAAUUGGGACUGAGAUAAGGCCCAGACUCCAACGGGAGGCAGCAGUGGGGAAUAUUGCACAAUGGGCGGAAGCCUGAUGCAGCAACGCCGCGUGCGGGAUGACGGCCUUCGGGUUGUAAACCGCUUUCGCCUGUGACGAAGCGUGAGUGACGGUAAUGGGUAAAGAAGCACCGGCUAACUACGUG
rnacentral:rRNA from 1 species